AUUGAACGCUGGCGGCAUGCCUUACACAUGCAAGUCGAACGGCAGCACGGGAGCAAUCCUGGUGGCGAGUGGCGAACGGGUGAGUAAUAUAUCGGAACGUGCCCAGUAGUGGGGGAUAGCCGGCGAAAGCCGGAUUAAUACCGCAUGAGACCUGAGGGUGAAAGCGGGGGAUCGCAAGACCUCGCGCUAUUGGAGCGGCCGAUAUCAGAUUAGCUAGUUGGUGGGGUAAAGGCCUACCAAGGCAACGAUCUGUAGUUGGUCUGAGAGGACGACCAGCCACACUGGGACUGAGACACGGCCCAGACUCCUACGGGAGGCAGCAGUGGGGAAUAUUGGACAAUGGGGGCAACCCUGAUCCAGCAAUGCCGCGUGAGUGAUGAAGGCCUCGGGUUGUAAAGCUCUUUGGUCGGGGACGGAUGAUGACGGUACCCGCAGAAUAAGCCCGGCUAACUUCGUGCCAGCAGCCGCGGUAA
rnacentral:rRNA from 1 species